rnacentral:lncRNA from 1 species
UUGAAAUAGGAUUAGGGUUCAAAUGCUCGCAUGAUUUCUUGAAUUUAAUCGUACCAUAACUUUCUCUAAUUACGUAUUUUCACGAGAAAACAUGUAACUGAAGGCUAUUAUAGCCCAAAAAUCAAUCAACCCCUAAUUAGGGUUCUGGCCGAAAUUUGAUUUGAAAUUCGAGGCUAUGGAAGAACGUUUGAAGGGAAAGCAAGACAGAUAUGGGAUGGGUAAUGCCUGGUGGUUAAGGGGUAUCGAUAGGGUUUUGGGUCAUACUUUAGAUCUAAUAUUCGAGAAGAUUGGUGAUGAAUUGAAGAAGAUGGUUUUUGGAGUUGGAAAGAGGAGGAAAAGGAGAGCUUUUGGUGGAAUUUUGGGGUCAUUUAAAGCUUCUCCGCCGGCAAAGGUGAUUUCCGGCCGGCGGAGGACGUUGUAAGGUAGUGGGAUACGUCGGGGGUGAUGGAUGUACGAGG